AUGGAAAAAGCAAGAGAGUUCCAGAAAAACAUCUACUUCUGCUUUAUUAACUAUGCCAAAGCCUUUGACUGUAUGGAUCACAAUAAACUGUGGAAAAUUCUGAAAGAGAUGGGAAUACCAAACCACCUGACCUGCCUCUUGAGAAAUCUAUAUGCAGGUCAGGAAGCAACAGUUAGAACUGUACAUGGAACAACAGACUGGUUCCAAAUACAAAAAGGAGUAUGUCAAGGUUAUAUAUUGUCACCCUGCUUCUUUAACUUAUAUGCAGAGCGCAUCAUGAGAAAUGCUGGGCUAGAAGAAGCACAAGCUGGAAUCAAGAUUGCCGGAGGAAACAUCAAUAACCUCAAAUAUGCAGAUGACACCACCCUUAUGGCAGAAAGUGAAGAGGGGCUAAAAAGCCUCUUGAUGAAAGUGAAAGAGGAGAGUGAAAAAGUCGGCUUAAAGCUCAACAUUCAGAAAACAAAGAUCAUGGCAUCCGGUGCCAUCACUUCAUGGGAAAUAGAUGGGGAAACAGUGUCAGACUUUAUUUUGGGGGGCUCCAAAAUCACUGCAGAUGGUGACUACAGCCAUGAAAUUAAAAGAUGCUUACUCCUUGGAAGAAAAGUUAUGACCAACCUAGAUAGUGUAUUAAAAAGCAGAGACAUUACUUUGUUGACUAAGGUCCAUCUAGUCAAGGCUAUGGUUUUUCCUGUGGUCAUGUAUGGAUGUGAGAGUUGGACUGUGAAGAAGGCUGAGCGCCAAAGAAUUGAUGCUUUUGAACUGUGGUGUUGGAGAAGACUCUUGAGAGUCCCUUGGACUGGAAGGAGAUCCAACAAGUCCAUUCUGAAGGAGAUCAACCCUGGGAUUACUUUGGAAGGAAUGAUGCUAAAGCUGAAACUCCAGUACUUUGGCCACCUCUUGCGAAGAGUUGACUCAUUGGAAAAGACUCUGAUGCUGGGAGGGAUUGAGGGCAGGAGGAGAAGGAGACGACAGAGGAUGAGAAGGCUGGAUGGCAUCACGGACCCGAGGGUCUUGAGUCUGAGUGAACUCCGGGAGAUGGUGAUGGACAGGGAGGCCUGGCGUGCUGCGAUCAUGGGGUCGCAGAGUCGGAGACGACUGAGUGACUGA
rnacentral:lncRNA from 1 species